ACCAUAUACUUCUCAUAUUUCGACAAUAAAUAAUGAUAUUCUUGUAAAUUCUGAAAAUUGCACAUAAAUUUGCUGUUGCUGUUCAGUUUAAAUUUUCUGGCAUCCCUGGUCAUUGCGGCAUUGCUAUGCCGCUGUCAAGUGUCAACAUCUGUCCAGUCUCAGUUUUCAUUGUUUUUCCGCGGUUCCAGCCUCCAAUGUAAUUCCGUUUUUUGUCUUCAUUUACCAAGUUUUAUUGAGUUACUUCGCAAAAUAAACUAAGUUUUCGUGAUGCAAAGAAAUUUCUUCUGUGUGAAACAAAGCCAGUAAGUGAUAACUGUGGUUCCGCCGCAAUGGAUUGACGGAAAAUUUCUUUUCUGACACCCUAAUAGAGCCGAAAAUUGCGUCUUCCAAACCAGAAUCUAACAGAGGUAACAUUCCCUGUAUAAUCAAAAAAAAAAAAGAACAUUUCAACAUUUGAUGAGGCAAAAGAGGAAGAUGCAUUCCUAUCUGACAGAACAACGGUCAAUGGAUACCUCCGAUACAGCAGUGCCACCUAAGAAAAGGUUGAAAAGGGCAGCUACAUCAAUUCAAGAAUUUGAUAUCAACCGUUUGCUAGAAAACAAAGGUUUGUACCCCAUUAUGUCCGAAUAAUGCUACAUUUCUAUUUUUAGGUACUUUAAUGAUGUUAGUAACCAUUGAAAAAACGUCUGCGGUUAACGUUGAUACUAAUUUGGUCUGCAAACCCAUAGAAGAAUUUGAAACAGAGCGACCAAUUGCUACUUCUUAUAUGCUACCUGGUUCCAAUACUGCAAUUAUACAGCGAAGCGAAGAUCUUGCAUAUGACCCACUCUUUGACCGCGAUGGACAGAAAAAUUUUAUGAUGGAAAAGAAGGCAAAUACGGUCAAUGGGUAAAAUACAUGCUACGAAAUUGUCAAGAGUAUCAAUUGGAGCUCAACGUCGAAUUAAUGGAACCUUUUCUAAAAGUCAGUCACGAGGAAUUCCACGAAACGUUGUGAAGCCGCUGCGCUGCUCGACAGUUCACCGGAGAUCAAAGAAAACAUCACUUCUGUUGCAAUUGCUGAAUGUAUGACCACUGAUGAUACGGGAAGAGAGAACAAGAAAACAGCGACACAGAAGAGGAGAGCGAUCGUGUUGAAUAUUGAGUAUCGUAGUUCUAAGUUAUCUUCAGUUAUUUGUUUAUUCGAUACCAAGCUAUCUGUAAUUCGUUAAUCUAGAUGUAAUUAAAGACUAGAGCCUGGGCAAAAAAUUUCAUUUGAUGUAAAAAUAACAGGAGGGUUGUGUGCAAAGCCACGACCGCAAGGUUGAAGUAGAAUACUUUUACAAGAAAGAUAACCCGGCUGCUUGCGUGUCAGCCAUUUUUUUCUAGUAAAUAAACGUUGACUUAUCAGAUCAAUCAAAUUUUGCGCUUCAACAAGGAUUGACCUUUUUUAAUAAUAUAGUAAGUUGCUUGUCAUGGUUGGGGCUUGACAAUUUUGAAAUUUUGAAAUGAAAUUUUUUCGGAUGUCGUG